CUCAUUUAUUCAUUGUUUGUGUAAUUUCCCAUUGAUAGGCUGGAUAGGGCUUGCUAAUCUCUGAAGUUUGGAUUUUGGACUCAUUAGCUAAGGACAAUUUGCAGUUUGGUUGCCGAGAAGACAGACGAAAAUAAACCAAAAAAAUAACGGGAAGGGAAAGAAAAAUCCGAAGCUUUGAGUUUUGAAAUUACAGUACUUACAUAGAUAAGAUUUUUUAAUACUUGCUUUUUAUGAGAUGGUGUUUUGUAAAGCCUGUGCAAGAGAUGUUCCUGGAAUUCGUGAUGGUGAUGGGCUUUUAUCCUGUAGCAGGUGUGGUAAAGUUCUUAAAUUUGAUAAUUAUUCAACUGAAGCCACAUUUGUGAAAAAUGCGUCAGGACAGAGCCAAUUGGCAGGAAAAUUAGUGAGGAGUAUUGAAAGUGAAAAUUUUUCAAGGCAAAGGUUAUAUGAUAAAGCUUAUGAUGAUUUGACAAAUAUAAAAAAUGGCUUGGGCAUGGGUGAAAAUCUUGCCAUAGUUGACCAAGCUAUGGUGUAUUAUCGAGUAUGUUUUCUUUACUUAAAUCUUUGCUACUACAUAUAUUUUGAUCAACAUAUCAUUUUUUUUUAUUGCCAUAUAAAGAUAGCAGUUGAGCGAAAUUUCACUAAAGGACGUAGAACAGAGCAAGUACAAGCUGCUUGUCUUUACAUUGCAUGUCGGGAGAAUAGAAAGCCGUAUCUUCUUAUUGAUUUUUCGAAUUACUUGAAGAUCAAUAUUUAUGUGCUGGGUGCUGUAUUUUUACAGCUCUGCAAAGUUUUGAAUCUUACAGAACAUCCCAUUUGCCAGAAACUUCUUGAUCCAUCCAUUUUUAUUCAUAAAUAUACAGCUAGUUUAGCAGGAGGAAAAAAUAAGGAUAUUUCUGAUGCUGCACUGACCAUCAUAGCUAGCAUGAAUCGUGAUUGGAUGCAGACAGGGAGGAGGCCCAGUGGGUUAUGGGGUGCGGCAUUAUAUAUAUCUGCACUUUCACAUGGACUCAACUGUUCUAAAUCAGACAUCUUGAAAUUGGUGCAUGUUUGUGAAGCAACACUCUCAAAACGAUUGGUAGAAUUUGAGAGUACAGAGUCUGGCAGCUUAACGAUUGAGGAACUGAAUGCAAAGGCAGAAGAGCUUAAAGAAAGUUCAACAGAUCAAUCAGAUAUUAUGUUGAAGACAUCAAGCUCAAAAGAGUUGCUUUGUCAUCACAAGGGUACUAGUAGACUUCCUUAUGCCUAUGGUCUUUGUAACGAGUGUUAUGCGUAUUUCAUUGGAUUUGAGGGUGGAUCGGAUCCUCCAGCUUUCCAGCGUGCUGAGCGGCAAAGGAAGGAAAAUUCUUCUGCUAUGAAUAAGACUGAUGACUCAAAUGUGUUUGAGGAGUUGAACAGUCAGCAUAUGGGCAGAGAUGAAAGAGUGCAGUCUAAUGAGCCAGAAAGUGUUGGGGUAGCUGCUCAGAAUAUGCCUGCCGAUGAUGGUGGUUGUGAUCAAUUUAGUGGAGAUGACGAUACAUGUUCUAAAGCUCGCGAUGAAUCAGACAACUUUUCUGAUAUUGAUGAUGCUGAGGUUGAUGGCUACCUUCACAAUGAGGAGGAGGUGCAGUACAAAAAAAUCAUUUGGGAAGAAAUGAAUAGGGAGUAUCUUGAGGAACAGGCAGCUAAGGAGGCAGCUGCUGCAGCUGCUAAGGAAGCUUGGGAGGCAAAUUUCAAGAACUGUCCAGAGGACAUGCAAGCUGCAAAGAAGCUUGAAGCUGCUGUUGCAGCAGCUGUAGCAAAAUCGAAAAAGGAAAGGCAACAAAAACGAGCUGCAGAAGCAAGAAACUCAGCUCCUGCACAAUCUGCUUCAGAAGCUGCCCGCCAAAUGCUGACAAAGAAGGUAGUUGCAUGGGACACUACAUGGAAAUUUAUUGCUAUAUGUUAAAUCACCUAUUUUGCAAUGUAGAAUUGGAACUGCUGUAACACUUUAGAUUUGAUAGUCUCACCACUGGAGGAUACUUUGGAGCAGAAAAUGUGGCUGAUAAGAGAAUCUGAUUUUGGGGUUAUCAAACAUUUCACAAAGUUGGAACUGUAUAAUCAGUAUUUACCAUCACUACCUCUGUUCUACUUCGUGGUUGAAUUACUUUCUUUUUUAAGGGGAGAAGGAACCAGUUAAAAAACAGCAGUGAAUAUGUUCAUGUAUCAAAAUAAUGGACAAUUGCUUGGUAUGGUUUGUUCAUAUUGAGUGAAAAUUUAAAAAAGAACUGCUGUAACUACUGUGAGUCAAGCUUAAAGCAAUUUUUGCUUGUGGAAUAAUGCUACUCUAUGUGGUUCAAUGUGUAUUACAUGUGCACACACCGACUUACCUGUAUAUUUAAGUAAAUAUAACAUUUUUUUGUUCAUUUCAAUAGCAUAUUGGAUUUUCUGAGAAAGGCAAUAUGGUUUCUUUUGCAGAGACUCAGUUCAAAAAUCAACUAUGAUGCCUUGGAGAAACUCUUUGAUGAACCUGGCUCUAAGGAUCCCAAGAAACCAAGGACUGAAUCACAUUCUGAUGAUGACAACAAGUUUCCAAAUACAGAUGACAAAAAUGAUGACUUGGGGCCAGAAAAUGAAAAUGAGGACGGGAAGGAUGCUGAAGCAUAUGAUUACAAUGAUGAUCAUUAUGAAGAAAAUAUGGAAGAAGCAUAUGGUUAUGACUACAAUGAAAAUGAUGAUUAUGGUGUUUAUUAGCCAUGGCAGAUGGUUUUUCUUGCUCGUGAUAUUCUUUCAGAUCUUCUUGAUAAAUAGCUGGAGAGGAGGGGAUCAUCUUGCUUGAAACUAUCUGAAUGGAUUGGUUGAUGCAUGUGCUCAUCGUGCUGAUGUGCAUCUUUUUCCGAAGUAUUGAUGUAUUCUUCUGCAGCAUUCUCCAGGCAGUACAUUACUUAAUUUAGACUGUAGAACAGACUCUUCUCCUUUUCUGUAUAAGUUCAUGUCAUUAUCUUUUGUAGGAUUUUUAGAAACCUUGGAAUUUAUUUAUUUAUUUUUUUUUUUGGGUUCUAUUGGUGCAUUAC
rnacentral:misc_RNA from 1 species